rnacentral:rRNA from 1 species
AUGGUAGAAGGAAGUGCUGCAGGAUAUCGUCACACGUGGGUCAUCGCCCGUGAAGGAGUGAAGCUUGUGAGAGCCAUGUUCGCCAAUGGCUGCCGUCCUGUGGGAGCUAUGGGCGCCGGGUGCCGGUGGCUCGUGGGAGCAAUGGCCGCGCUGGUCGCCGUCACGUGGGAGCUAUGGGUGCCGGUGGCUCAUGGGAGCUAUGGGCGCGCUGGUCGCCGUCACGUGGGAGCUAUGGGCGUCGGGUGCCGGUGGCUCGUGGGAGCCAUGGCCGCGCUGGUCGCCGUCACGUGGGAGCUACGGGCGCCGGGUGCCGGUGGCUCGUGGGAGCCAUGGGCGUGCUGGUUGCCGUCACGUGGGAGCUAUGGGCGUCGGGUGCCGGUGGCUCGUGGGAGCCAUGGCCGGGUUGGAGCUAUGGGCGCCGGGCACCGCUGCAAUGUGGAAGCUACGCAUUGGAGCCAUGGGCACCGGUCGGCCGGCCGCCUCUGCUAG